CACUUCUGCAUACACAUGGCCUUAAGGAUCAGUGACCUUCAGAAGUUUCCAUGUCAGUUUUUUUGUUUUAAGGCUCAUCUGAACAAUCUGAACCAGCCAUUUCCCAGUGCUCAUCUAUGCAAACAGUCAUGUUGUUUACCGUUCUACCUGACAUAAGAACUUACAUCACCUUGCAGUGACUCACACAUCCUGUCAAUACUGAAGAAUAUCUGUGUCCCAAAGACCAGAGCCCAUACUCUAGAGACAGCCUGCCAAGGAUGAAAGAAGAGUAUAGAAUUUGUAAUUGAGGAAGAAACAAGUAUCCUAAUAUGACCAGCUAACACAUUUAAAGUGAUG